rnacentral:tRNA from 4 species
GGCCCAGUAGCUCAAUGGAUAGAGCAAUUCCCUUCUAAGGAAGAGGUUGGUGGUUCGACUCCACCCUGGGUCACAA